rnacentral:misc_RNA from 1 species
AUGAUAUGACAGAUCCAGGUAGCAGGCCUGAAUCAUUUGAUCCAAGAGGCCUUUUGUGUGAUCCACUCGAGCCUGGAGAACCGUUUCCAAUUAGAAAGUCACAAGAUGCUGCUGUUGGUGAGCUUGUACGUAUGCUAAAGAAAGCACCACCUCUACGCCAAGACUUCUCCACUUCAGUUUGUUUGUCGCAAGACAAAAUGUCUAGCAGCAGCCUCCAAGAGCAGCAGGCUUCUGCUAGCAUUGCAUCUUCAGGGCUUGUUGCAUCAAAGACAACAGCUGAUGCAUUGGAAGAACUUCGGGGUUACAAAGAGAUGAAGAAAGACUUGUUGCUUAGUCAAGCUGGUAGGUCCAACACAUCAGCAAAUGAUACUUGUAUGCAAAAAUCUACAACUGGUUGAACUCGUGUUGAUACUUGCACAUAUGUAUAGCUAAUGGUUUAAGAGGUGAUUUCAUACUAUACGAAUGUUUUAUUAGCGCCCAUUUCCUCUGUAUAUAUGAGGCGAUGUGAAAUGAUGAGUGAGUUUCAUACAUUAUCGAAAGGUUUACAGCUGACUUUAAAUUGCCGCAACUUUUGUAGGUAAAUUCUGUGCUGUGUUUAUGACUGCUUAAAAAAAAAAAAAAAAAAAA